rnacentral:rRNA from 1 species
GGAGUUUGGGCCGUGUCUCAGUCCCAAUGUGGCCGUCCGACCUCUCAGUCCGGCUACAGAUCGUCGCCUUGGUAAGCCGUUACCUUACCAACUAGCUAAUCUGACGCGGGCCCAUCUCAUACCACCGGAGUUUUUCACACUGAGUCAUGCGACUCUGUGCGCUUAUGCGGUAUUAUCAGUCGUUUCCAACUGCUAUCCCCCAGUAUGAGGCAGGUUGCCCACGCGUUACUCACCCGUCCGCCACUAAGUUUACUCAAGAUUCUGCCGAAGCUUCAUCAGCGAGUAAACUCCGUUCGACUUGCAUGUGUUAGGCACGCCGCCAGCGUUCAUC